GAACAAGCGAAUAAGUGCACAUGGUGGAUGCCUUGGCGAUUACAGGCGAUGAAGGACGUAGUAGCUUGCGAUAAGCUGCGGGGAGCUGGCAAACAAGCUUUGAUCCGCAGAUUUCCGAAUGGGGAAACCCGGCCGUAAGGUCAUCGUUAUCUGAAUACAUAGGGUAACGAAGCGAACGUGGCGAACUGAAACAUCUAAGUAGCUACAGGAAAAGAAAUCAACCGAGAUUCCCAAAGUAGUGGCGAGCGAAAUGGGAUCAGCCUGCAAGAUUUAGCAUCAACGAUAGCAAAACGGAAUGGAAAGUCCGGCCAUAGUGGGUGAUAGCCCCGUAUGCGAAAUCGAUGGUGUGGAACUAGGCUUGCGACAAGUAGGGCGGGACACGUGAAAUCCUGUCUGAACAUGGGGGGACCAUCCUCCAAGGCUAAAUACUCGUAAUCGACCGAUAGUGAACCAGUACCGUGAGGGAAAGGCGAAAAGAACCCCGGAAGGGGAGUGAAAUAGAUCCUGAAACCGUGUGCAUACAAACAGUAGGAGCC
rnacentral:rRNA from 2 species